AGCGAACGUUAGCGGCGGGCCUAACACAUGCAAGUCGAACGCGAAAGGUCUUCGGACUGAGUAGAGUGGCGCACGGGUGAGUAACACGUAGGUAAUCUACCCUUUGGCGGGGGAUAACGUUCCGAAAGGAGCGCUAAUACCGCAUAAGACCACGGAGUCUCCGGACGCUGUGGGAAAAGGUGGCCUCUUCUUGAAAGCUACCACCGAAGGAUGAGCCUGCGUCCCAUCAGCUAGUUGGUAAGGUAAUGGCUUACCAAGGCGAAGACGGGUAGCUGGUUUGAGAGAAUGAUCAGCCACACUGGCACUGGAACACGGGCCAGACUCCUACGGGAGGCAGCAGUGAGGAAUAUUGGGCGAAUGGGCGAAAGCCUGACCCACGCCACGCCGCGUGAGUGAUGAAGG
rnacentral:rRNA from 1 species